rnacentral:rRNA from 1 species
UAGGAAAAUAAAUCUAAAGUUAAACCUGCCCAGUGUAGAAAUUUAAUAAUUAUAAAUGGCCGCGGUACUUUGACCGUGCUAAGGUAGCGCAAUCAAUUGGCUUUUAAAUGGAGUCAGGUAUGAAUGGGAUCACGGAGUUUAGCUGUCUCUAAAUUAAUUUAUUGAAAUUACUAUGUAGGUGAAAAAGCCUAUAGAAAGAAAAAGGACGAGAAGACCCUUAGAGUUUUAGUUUAAAGUAAAAUAAUUUUUUUAUAAUAAUUUAGUUGGGGCAACAUAGGAACAAUAACAGUAUUAUAACUUCCUUAAUAUAUCUAUUUACCGAUUUUUAUAAAAUUGAAUAAACUACCUUAGGGAUAACAGCAUAAUUUAAUGUAUAAGUUUGUGACCUCGAUGUUGGACUAGGAAAUUGAAAGGUUAGCCGCUUUUUAAGAAGGUUCUGUUCGAACUAGAUAU